rnacentral:lncRNA from 1 species
AAAGCAGUCAAUGGUGGGGAGCCACGUCUGCGUGGAUGUAUUGGAACUUUAGAAGCCCGUUGCUUGAUCAAUGGUUUCAAGGAUUAUGCAUUAACUAGGUAUUUUGUGUUACGCUGAUACCAUCUGGAAAUUAGUGACUUUUUGCAUGGUUAUGUUGGAAGGAUGAUAAGUGUGUUAUGACUCUUUAAAUCUUAGCAUUUAACAAAAAGCCUGUUUAUUUUCUUCAAAGAAAUAACAAAAAACCUCUCACUUGAUUCCAAUCUAGCACCAUCAACAUAAUCAUCUUUUGAUAGACAAUCUACAAAUGAGAUAUAUUUCUUGAUGUGCAUUAUUAUAACUAUUUUUAAAUAUAGGCCACUGUCAUUCUGUUGGUACUUUGACAUGCAUUAUGUUUCGCAUUGUGUGUUUGUGUGGGUUUAUGUCUAUUUCUAUGUACAUAUGUAUACUGGUUGUGAUAUUGUAGGCAGUACUGAUAAAAUAGAAGAUUCUUAUAGGAAGGAAUAUAGAUUUGAUAUAGUGCAAAAGCCUGGACUAGUCAGUUGUAAAUUUGAAUAUUUUUAUUUGCAGGUUAUGCAUAUGAAUUCAUGACUAUUGUUUAUGUGUCUAUGCUUAUACUGCAUUAGUACAUGUCAUUUUAAUGCAUUAAUGAUUAUAUGACUUAUGAUGCAUGAAUUGAUUGAUGAAAAAACCUGAUUUUCUCAUAUUUUUAGGUCUACAAUAUGUGCCAUAUCAAAUGAAAUAUUUGUAUUCUUCAUUAUCAAAAAAUGAUAUUCUCGUAAAUUUUAAUCUUUCUUUCCGAACUGUAUGAGUGUUGUUUUCUACAAAUUUUUCAAACCAAUGAAAAACCAUAUAAACAGCUUAAUGAGCAAGACAAGAAGUUGACUAUUCUCUAAAAUUCUGAUAGUUUCCUACUGAUGGAUAAUGUAAAACUAGUAUGGUUCCAUGCUUAAAAUUUACCCAUGGCGGUAGAGUUGUGAUUUCAUCAAACCAUAUGCUCUGAGGGACCGGCGCUUCCCUCCUAUACAAGCUAAAGAAUUGCCAUAUUUGGAAUGCACAGUAUCUGUACUGACUAAUUACGAAUCUGCUCUUCAUUACCUUGAUUGGGAGAUUGGAAAGCAUGGUUUAAUUAUUGAAUUUACUGACCCCGAUUACAGCACAAGGUGCAGCGCAACAUACUUGCCUGAGGUUGCUGCCCAUGANNNNNNNNNNNNNNNNNNNNNNNNNNNNNNNNNNNNNNNNNNNNNNNNNNNNNNNNNNNNNNNNNNNUAGACUGGAAGUUUUUGUCAACUUUGGCGGAUAAAAUAAUAUUGUUUUAAAUAAGGUUGGCUAUACCAAUACCAAUAACAAGAAGAGGGGGGGUGGGGGGGUGGGGUGUCCGAGCCAUGUGGAGUUUUGGGUACGCUAGUACAGGAUAAUGAUGAAGAUUUAAUUGAGGUUGUACUGUCAAGUGAUUCCAUUAAGGUUCUUGUAAGGAGAGGGGCCUGAAAUUAAAUUGAAGGUUGAAAAAAGAAUUUAAGGGGAGAACAAAACAUAGAUGGGAUUUGUGAGAAAGGACCUCUGUGCUACCUGCCAAGUAGACUUCUAGGUUCAUGGCAAGCUCUUCUUAUCUGAAAGUUAUAUGGCCUAGAAUUUGGUGGAAAUUCCUAUAUAUGUGCCAACUCCUUGACAAAUAGCUGUAAAAAUCUACUGAGUAUUCAACUCAUAUUUGUGCUCCAUAGCUGACUUCACUUUGACACCUCAAUGCCUGGAUGAUGAUGAUGAUGGUUUAGAUGGCAUAAUUGAUCAGUGUCUUGUCAUUGCUCAUUCCAUUUUGUUUGAGCUAGAUUUUCACUUCCAGGAUGACUGAGAUACUGCUAGUGACUUGUGCUGCUUCAUGAUGAAUUGUGAUGGUAACAGGUUAGGGUAAGUUAGUUCUAAUUCUGACAGUUUUGGUUUUGUAACUCCCACCUUUUCAUUGCAAAAAGAAUAUCAUUAUUUUAAUAUAUUAAAUGGAAGAUUCUGGAUUUUCCAAGUAAGCAGAUAGUUUUAUUUGGGUAACUUCUUUUUGAAGUCAACUUAUAAGUGUUCUCAUGCAUAAUGUUGCAUGACAGUAACCAUAUUCUAGUUUUUCUUCCUGCUCUAAAUCAUGAACCUACUUUCCAUUGUUGAUCUCUUAAAAUUUGUUCCUGUUAUUACUUUUCCCAUAAUUGAUGUUCUGUAUCUCUGAGGUGGACACAGGGAGUAAGAUUAUAUAUGUAUAAUAUGUUGUGUAAUUCUUUAAGCUGAUGUGUUUUGUCUUCUUGUAGUGCUCUGAGGGACCGGCGCUUCCCUCCUAUACAAGCUAAAGAAUUGCCAUAUUUGGAAUGCACAGUAUCUGUACUGACUAAUUACGAAUCUGCUCUUCAUUACCUUGAUUGGGAGGUUGCUGCUUCUCUUGUAUUUGAUGCGGUCAUUUUUAUAAAUUUUGCAUAGGGACUGGAUUAUGCACAGCAUAUUAGCUAGGGGCAUGGGCGGAAGGUAUAGGCUGUUUGUGUGGAACAGGAAUUUUAAACUUUAUCUUUUAAAGAGAUGUCAAAAUCAUGUUGAAAGGUUGUUUAUGGUAACCCAAUAUUUAUCUUCUUUUCUCUCUAAACCAUAUCACCUGCUAGUUUCCAGCUAGAUCCUAAUGGCCUGGGCUGCUAGUUGCUUUGCUGUAUUCUGAGGUGCUGAAAUACCCUAAGACUUUAGUGGGAAUGCUACUGGAUGGAAUUAUGGAAGACGGGGUGGAAAUGAUAAAAAAUGAUUCCGGCUGAAACAUAGUUAGAUAUGAGAUAGAAACAUGUUUGUUGUUAGAGGAUUUGACGAUUGAUAAAAAUAAUGGCAUGGUAGGAUUUAUAAAACUAACUUAAGAGAAUAGGGCCUAUUGUUUGACUGUAGCAAGAGGCAAAAUCGGUAGUGUCUCAAGUUUUGUGCAUUUUAGAGAUUGCAUUGCAGAAUAGAGUUUUUUCUUUUCUGUCUUCCUUCUACAUUCACCGAAGUGUUCCCAUGUUCCCACCAAUAACUAUCUAAAGUAGUUGUAGUAUUUCUAGUACUUACAACUGCAUACUUCCUAUUGUGCAGAUUGGAAAGCAUGGUUUAAUUAUUGAAUUUACUGACCCCGAUUACAGCACAAGGUGCAGCGCAACAUACUUGCCUGAGGUUGCUGCCCAUGAAGGUACAUUGUGUAUUGUUAUUUGCUCUCUCAGUUUUCCUUUCUUUGCAUAUCUAGUAAACGGUGAACUAUUGCAACAGUGCUUCCCUCUAAAAGUUGGGAGCAUCUGAAAAUCAGUUCAAAUUUGCACAAUCCGUACAUCAGUUUCCAGUUCUAGUGUUUAACUGUCAGUCCAUCAUGAAUUGUGGUUGAGUACCAAACUAAGUGUUGACCUAGGUGACUCUCUGGAACCAUGGAAUUGAAAGAUUACUGAAAAAUUGCUUUUCCAAGUAGAGAGAUCCAAGAGGCUCACUAGAUUCAUUAUUUGAUAUCCAAUAUCCUUGCUUUAAGUUGCAUAUGGUUUUCCAUCUUUUGAACAUAAUAUUUUUUUUUUGGUGAAUCGGCUGCUCACAUUGCUCUAGCAUGAGUACAACCAGCUAUAUCAGCAUCAAGUAAACAACACAAAGCAAAAGGAACAGAAGACUGUUGAGUUCAAAGAAACUUUCUGGAGUGGUACAUAGAAAAGGAGGCGACCCAGUCAGCAGCCUGGUUCGCCUCUCGAAGGACAUGCCUGAUCUGGAGGAUCCGACACUCCCGUAGCAUGCGGCGACUGUCGCUCAAGAGGGGGUGCUCCCCUCCUGCCUCCCCUCCUUCGUAAAGCGCGCCAUUAGGGAAGCUAAGUCGCCCUCCAGUAUGGUACAAAUAGCCUGCAGAACAUAUUUCGCAUAAGAAAGCCCCUUCCAGGCUGCCUUGAGCUCCGCCCCAAAAGCCGAGGCCUCGAAGGAGCGGCACUCUCCUGCUGCAAUUAGCCUGGCGCCAUGAUCUCUGAUGACAAAAGCCGCUCCCGCUCGAUCGGCACCACCGGGCAGACUUCCAUCGAAAUUCACCUCUAGAUGGCCAGGAGAUGGAGACUUCCAAGAGACAAAAACAAAUCUGGGCGCUAUGAUAACGGGGAGGGGGUCCCAGAUGUUCCUAGCCAUUGUAGAUGAAUCCAACUCAGCAGCCUCCAAGAUCUUCACUGCCUGAUAGAGAGCCUGUUCAAAAACAACUCUCAGGGGAGCCUUUCUCCCUUAGAAGACUCUGGCAUUCCUAUCCAGUCAAAUAUGAUAUAUCAAGUAGAUAGUUGCAAUACCCCACCCUACGGUGCUCAGCUAUCGUAGCGCAAGCCUCACCUGCCAUAGAAAGUCCCCCACAUCAAAAGUAAGCCCCGACAAGGGAAAAGAUGUCCUCCUCCAAACCAGAGCUGCCCGCGGGUACUCAAAUAGCACAUGGCUAACAGUCUCCACCGACUUUGGGCAAUCCACACACAUCAGAGAAACCCCCAUCCCUCUCUUGGCUAGCAUCUUUCUAGUUGGCAGAUAGUCUUAAACCAUCUUCCAAAUGAAUAGUGCCACCCGUGGAUGCGUCCGCAUCCUCUAAAUCCACCUACCCUCACAAUGCCUGGCCGACUCGCCCCCCAAUAGUGCCUGUAUAUCAACUCUAGCUGACCCAGUAGCCGCCUGCAUCUACUUAUCCAUCCCAACCUAUGGAAUCGGAGUGGCAAGUAUCCGCUCCGCUGUAUCCCAAAAACCUAUCUGAUCAUGGCCUCAUCCCACCGAACCUCGCUAGGGAUCAUCAUAUCACUGACUCUGCGAUCGGACAAUCUUGCAGAGUCGACCAUUGUUGGCAUCCUGCAGAGAGACAGCCAUCGAUCCUCCAAAAUGUCAAUGGACUGCCCAUUCCCAACCAUCCACCUGAUCGCCGGAAGCACCGAGGGCGCGGAUGAGCAAAUCUUUCGCCAGAUGAAGGAACAAUGGCGCCCACUUUGGAGCUUCUCUCGUGUUGAGUGGCCACCAUACUUCACCCUCAAUAGGGCGUACCACAGACUGUUCGGCUCAAAAAAAAUCUAGCGGCACACCGUGCUUUUAGAGUCUCCCGCCGCACCAACAAUGAUAGAACCCCCAGGCUCCCAAGUCUGAGAGGCUGAUAGGCAACCUCCCAUACCACCAGAUGAAUGCUUCUCCUGCCCUCUUGCCUGCCCCACAUGUAGUCCCUGAACAACUGCUCCUAAGCCCUCAACAGAGAGAUAGGCACCUGAGUGUGUGCCAAUAGGUACACCGGCAUUGAACUCAGUACCGACCGCACCAGAAUGAUACGCCCCAUCAUGGAAAGAGCAUCCAUCUGCCAUUCCUCUAACCUGCGUCUGAUGCUUAGCUCAACCUCGGAACAAUCACUACGCCAAAGACGCCGUCCAAUGAUGGAAACCCCAAGAUACCUCAUCGUGCUCUCCUGCUCACCCACACCCAGGAUGUCUCUAAUGGAAGCCUUGGUUUGUAGCUGGAUCCUGGGACUAAAACAAAUAGCAGACUUGGCUCUAUUUACCACCUGACUAGAAGCAGAACAGUAGUCAUCCAUAAUGUCCCAAAUCACCCUCGCCGCUCGCUGUGUGGCCCGGGCCAGAAGUAGACAGUCAUCGGUGAAUAAUAGAUGAGAGAUCUGGCACGAUCCGAUCACCGAACUAUACACCUCCAAGACCUGCUGCUCUGCCGCCUGCCUGAGGGCCUUGGAUAGAGCAUCCGCACACAGAAUAAACAGUAAUGGAGACAACGGGCAGCCCUGUCGGAGAUCCAUUGUCGACUCAAAGAAGUGCAAGGGUGAAUCAUUCACCAAAAUGGCAAAGAAGGGAGAGCAGACACGCCCUAGAACCCAAUCAAUCCACAGCCCAUGGAAUCCAAAACUAACCAGUGAGCUGCGCAGGAAGUCCCACCUCAUCCUAUCAUAGGCCCUCUCCAUGUCUAGCUUGAUGCCGAUCAAGCUCCUUCGGUACGGGGCUCACUGAAGAUCGAACAUAAACUCCUAGGCAAUAAUAAUGUUAUCCGUGAUACUAUGCCCCCCCACAAAAGCCCUCUGCUCCGGACUGAUAAGUUUGGGUAAAAUAACUCGCAGCCUAGCGAUCAGAACCUUUGCCGUGGUUUUGUAUAGGGUAGUGCACAAACUGAUGGGUCGGUAGUGAGUCGGCUCUGUAGUAUCUGACCUCUUCGGAAUCAAUGUGACGAAUGUCCUCUUCCAAUCUGCCUGUAGGACUGCCGAGUUGAAGAACUGUUGUAUCGCCUCACCACAUCAAGACCAAUGAUCGACCAGUACCUCCUAAAGAAUACUAGGGGAAAACCAUCCGGGCCCGGAGCUCUAUCCUCCCCCAACAAUCACAAAGCCUCCUUGAUCUCCUCCGCCGACAUUGGCCUAAUCAAAGCAGCAUUCUCCUCCUCUGUGACUCUGGCUGACGGUGGUGGUGGCGUAGAAGAACCCAUCCGGUCUGUCUGGUCUAUCCAUCUAGACCUGAAAAACAACUCCAGCACCCUUCUAAUGGCCGCCGGAUCCUCUGUCAUCUGGCCAUCUGAAUCUCUUAUACCCCUGAUUUUGUUCUUCUGUCUCCUGAUGAUAGCUAACUGGUGGAAGAACCUGGUAUUUCGGUCACCCUCUCUGAUCCACUGGAUCUGAGACUUCUGUCUCCAGAACGUCUCCUGCUGGUGGAGAAGAGAAUCAUGGGUAGACAGAUGAGACCUAAGCUCCUCUAGCUUUCCUGUAGUUAACCCUCCAUCAUGCACCUCCUGGGUCUGCAACCUGGAAAGAGCCUCCUCGGCCGCCUCCAUCCUUCUGCAAAUGUUGCCCACUUCCUCCUCGUUCCACCUCCACAGCCUCGCCUGGUAAUCUCCAGUUUACGAGAGACUCUAUACAUAGCAUUUUUCUUGACUGACACCCGCCAAGCCUCAUGCACCACCUCCUAAGACUGGAGAUAUGACAACCAAAUCUUCUCGAAUCUAAAAGAACAAUGAAAAUGGUAGUAGAAGAGGUACUAACCAAGAUAGGACAAUGGUCUGAGGCUAUCCGCGGCAAGUGGCUCAUCCGGUAGUCUGGAAAACUCUGCACCCAGCCAUCCGUAGCAAAGACUCUGUCGAUCCGCUCCCAAACCCUGGCUUGUCCCUGCCGUUUGUUGCACCAGGUGAACCUAGGGCCAUCGAAGCCAAGGUCCACCAGGCCAUUGCUAGUGAUGAAAUUCUGGAACUAUCUGACCUCCCACUUAUAAGUGAAAGCCUUUCCCUCCAUUUUCUCUUGAGGACCCUCAAUGCAAUUGAAGUCCCUUGCCACCGGAAGAGGGUGACCCAGCUGCGUGAUUUUGGCUACCUCCUCCCACAAAAUCCUCCUCAUCCUGCUAGCAUAUACAACCGCUAAUACCCAUGGCCUAGUCAUGCCAUCUGAGAUCACCAUCACCACCUCCUGGUCACACACAUGGAACACAUCUAGAUCGCCAAUCCUUAAUCUCCACGCAGCGAUAAUCCUCCCGGGUAAACCUCGGAACUCUACGGCAUAGAAACCCCAUGAUCUGGGGAGGCCCCUCCUCGCACGUUGCAGACUCCUACCGGAAAGCCGCGUCUCAAACAAAAUACAAACAUCAGGAUUGUGGACCUGCACCAACCAAUGGAAGGCAGGCCCAAAGGAGGGCUUCCCCGCCCUCCGGCAAUUCUAUAAUAGGACCUUCAUUGGAUAAUCUGAGAGCUCGCCAGUGUCCCCUCCCCAGACCCUACCAUCACUUUGUCAUACAAACUCUUUCUUUCCUCCUCACUUGACUGCUUCUCUCCUUGCACCCCCUGUAGAGCCCGCUUCAGGAGGCCGAAGAGUCUCACAUGGGGGGACGAGGCUCCUCCCUCCUGGUGGGCCUCAGAGGGGAUGGAAGGGUCCUGGUCUGCCUGGAGUGGCCUCGACGCUAGAGAUGGCUCCCUGAUCAUCUGGGAGGACCCAUCACCCGAUGCCACCCCCUCUGCCUCAGAGUCCCCUGCCGUGGCAGUAAACGCCGGAUGAUGUGCGGGGGAGGGAAGAAGCUGGCUCGGUGGCGAAGUCGAAGGGGAGGACCUGACGACCUUGCCCACCAACGCUCGAUUAUCUCUCGUCUGACGAUCCUCCCGCGGGUGGAUCCUGUGGACCCUCUCCUCGUCGAGCACUGUAACGGCCUCCCGCCGCUCGACGCUCCUCCGGUAGCUCGGAGCCUCUCGGACCCCGGCGGAGCGACCGUGCAGGACAGGGGCAUCCUCCCCCAUCCCCUUGAGGCCGGCACCAUCGAGCGAGGCCACCCGCCUCAGCCGACUCGGGCCCGCACCCAGGUCGGGUGACGCCCCAACAGCUUCCCCGAGCGCCACACCAGCCUGGCCACAACAAAUGCUGGCCCAUGAUCCACCAUCGGCUCUUUACUGUGUUGGCCCAGCCUUUGCAAACCAGGGCCCGCAGGAACCGGGCCGGGCCCGGCCGAACGCCGGUCCAAGCCUUUAGCUUUCCCUGUGCUGUGCCCCCUUCCGUUUGGCGGGUUGCAGGCCCGGUUGAUGACUGGCCCACCGACCCUAGCCAGGCCCAACUUCUGGCCUGCAUCCAAACGGCCUACCUCAUCACGGGCGAGUACCAACUUGGUGACUUGCCCAGUUCCACUCGUCUUCUCCACCUGGGCUCCCCUCCCAAACCUCCCGUCCCCACCAAUAGCGUCGGGCAAGCCUAGUAGGGGUCUGCCACCCGUCCCGAGCCACGGAAGCCUCGGGCACCUCCGGACGCCCCCGUCCCGCGUCUCAACGACGGCUGGUUGUUUGCAGCCAAGGGCCCUCCAGCCGGCUGGAUCCAGGUGGUGGUCAGCCACGGACCAAAGAGACGGAGAGCCUCGACCCACGUUGGCUCCAGGUCAUCUGCAGCUCUGACCCACCUUUCGGUCGUGGGUCUUCCGCCACUGAGCCCGGGAGAAAAAAACGACAUCCUGCUUCCUAGUGCCCAAGGCGACCACACCGGAAGUAGGCCGUCAGCAAGCUCUCGUAGACGAACGCAUACCAAAAGCUCACCAUCGUUCCCUGGAUGAAAACCCCCGGCGUUAGAGGCUGGGUCGUGUCCAGCUCGACCCGCACUCAAGCAAACCCCAGCCUCCGCCGUUGCUCCGUGAACGCAUCCACCGCUACUAGCCGGCCGGCCUCAGCAACUAUCUCCAAGAUGAUGCCGCGCUCCCAAUACUCCACCAGCAACUCUGGGAGGCGGACCCAAGCCACCGCCCUAUUCACGCCUUUCGUGCCCGGAACAAAAUCUGGCUGACACCGGUCCAUGGCAAGGAGUUAGCCAGCGGUCAUCCACGGGCCAUUCUUCAGCAUUGCCUCCCUAUUUGCCUCACUUUUGAACCGGAGCAGCAGAUGAUCCUCCGCCAUAGAAAUGGCCUCCGGAUCGUAGGUGAGCUUCCCCUUGGCAUGGAGCUCCCGGACCACCAAAUGAUCUAGCACACUCCUCCCCAGGCUCCACAUGAUGAUUGCCGUGGAGCUCCAGGCUAGCCGAGCGCUCUCCAACCUUUCCGGCGGAAACACCAACACCUUGGUGAAGUGCCGUUGCAACUCCCUCAACUCACCCUUGGAAAUGCGGUGGUUGGACCAGGUGCCCCGCCGAGCGACGCCUCUAGCAACCUCCACCCACGGCUUCCUGGCAGUGGCCCCCAGCACCGGGCGUUCAUCCUCGGCGCUUACCACUGCAUCGCCCACCUUCUCCAUCCUCGGAAGCUGGUCCUCCCAGCCGUUUCUAGAGUGUUCGAUGAAACGCUGCACCGAGACACGAAUUUUGACACAUCCGCUCACCCGCUCCGCUCUAGCGAGGACCAGUGAUAGUCUCCUGCUGGAAACGCCUUCUCUGCAACGCGACCAUGGCUCCAAUAUGCUCGGCGGCCGUGGCAUUUCUACAAUAGCGUUGCUCCCCAAAAUCCCCCCCUCCCGCUCUCUACGACGAUAAGUGUCCACGGUUUUUUACCAAACAAAAAAGGGUUGAGAGUUUUAAGAGGUUUCAGGAUUGAACAUAAUCGUUCCCACGGAGGGCUUAAUAAGAUAACAAGAAGGUCACGGUGGUUUCAUCUUGAAUGUAGAAUAUGUUUUAUAUCAGUGUUAUGGAGCCCUUUUCUUUUCCCCUUCUGAAACAGGUUGGACGAAGACCGAAACCAUCGACUCACUCAUGAGGAAGGCUGGUUAUAAUGGAGUCAUAACCGAGUCCCUUCGCAAUCGACUCCAUGUCACGCGCUAUAUGAGCACCCUGUACACCAUGCACUACAGUGACUA